rnacentral:ribozyme from 13 species
UGUAAAUACAUCUGUACAAAAUACAUCAAAUACAAAAAAAGAAAUGAAGUGUGAAGUUUGCACAUUCACAUUUUUCCUUGUCCUCUCUCUCUUCCCCUCUCUUUCUUUUUAUCUCUGCAGCUU